AGGAUAAUAGUUUAAAAUAAUAAAUAUUUGAUUUGCAUUCAAAAGAUAUUGAAUUAUCAAUUUAUCUUA
rnacentral:tRNA from 1 species